rnacentral:lncRNA from 1 species
GGAAAGAAGUCUAUGAAUAUUUAGAGGUAAAUCCUUUCUCUAGGCCCAGGGUUAUAUCUGACCGUGAGCUAUGUAUACAAGGAUUUCACCAAAUUCCUAAAUUUACUUUAGUAUUUUAGGUGUGAAACUUUUCAAAAAGAUAGAGGCUAAUGUUCAUAGGGGACCAAAGCUAUUUAUACUGCUCCAUUUUUGUUGUGUUGUUUGGUUUGCAUUCACCAAGGAGUCAUUUGAGAGUGAUUUAGAAGAGUUAUGUCUCCAGUGUCAGACUGUUGCCUCUAAUGGCAUUUGACAUCUUAGUAAGAUUCUGGAAUAGGCCCAGACUCUAGCACUGUACCACACAGGAGCAAAGUCCUUAUACCUAAUAUUCUUACUAGAGAGAACAAAACCUUCUGACCAGUCUUAUCAGUGACAUUUGUAUUUACUACAUGACAUCUUGAUUACUUUUUCCUUCAUGCUCUAUAGGAUAUGAUUCUUUUGAGGGAAAAAUAAGUGAAAUAUUUUCCACCCCUAAAUUUCAAUGGAAAGAAGAAUAAAUUGGAGUUUAAUAAAAAAGUUAUUUCUAACUGGACUCCUUUUGAAAGCUUGAUACUUACAAGAUUCAUUUCUUCAUUCUCUCAGGUCUUGCUUACUUCCUGUAUUUUUAUGAAAGCUUCAAGUGAUUCUCUGAAAGGGGCAGCAGAGUUGAGUAUCAACAAAAGAAAAGCAAUGGCAGAAUAUUUUCACUCAUCCUCCCUUAUUUGGUCCAGUAUUGACAAGCGUCCUUGUAAUUCUCAUCUUUAGAGGAUAGUUGCCUGUCUUUUCUACCACUUUGGCUAAAAGAUGACUUAUUAAUGAUGAACUGACUCUUGAAUUUAAGAAAAAUUUUAUCCUAGUUUUUCAUAGACAUAAGAAUUUUCAUUCAGGUCAUGAAAUAUUUAAAAUGAAAAAUGGGUAACUCUUUAGUAAUGCAAAGUGGAAAAAGAGGAGAUAAUAAAAUACAGAAGUCUUAUAGAAAUCAACUCUCUUUUUAGUAUCCAAUUCCUCUUUUUUUGUAUCCUAUUCUCCUGUUUACCAUUCUUACCAUCAAACAUUUUCUGUCUUUGCUGAAGUGGUUGGACUUCAGCAGAUUGGUGCUAUCAUUUCUUUACCAAAGGAGGUUGCUAAUGAGCUGUAUUUUUUCCAGCUGACUCUUAAUGAUCCAUUUUCAUAUAAUCAGGUGCUAACACCCCAGCAGCAGGACCUAAAAUAUCCUGACUGGGCCUCUGCUUACUGUGACACACUGGCUGCACUUCAUUAAGGAACUGAGAUACCUCCAAGUGCAUCGUAGGACUGCAGAGUCUACAGAACAAAGGACCAUGUCUAGCUUCUCAUUACUGAAGAAAUUAUACAGGGAGAUACCUUUGAGGCCUAUUUCUCCCUCAAUAUUCAUGUCUAAAUCAACAUUAGCCCUGAGAUGACACUGCUUAUGAAUUGUAAAUCUCUGUGACUUGUCUAUAGUAAGCGGUCCCCUAGAGGAGCUGCAAUAUUACUCUUUAUAAAUAAUCAGAGCUGUUCCAUCCUAAAGAGAACAGCAAAUUGGAAUUCACUUUGAAAAAUCAAAAUCUCCAGGUUCCACAAGUCCCAUAUAUUUAGAUUUCUGGACUUUAUUCCAAAGCACUAGAAUAUUUUUAUUUAACUUUAUCUAGUUUACUUAUUUAGUUUUUUAGUUAGCUAAUUAGUUACUUGCUAUAAACUGAAGGGACUAUCUCUUUACAAAGUUCUCUUCUGCCACAGGAUGAUGCAUAUGUCCUGGCACAGUAGUUGGAUGUCUAUUCCAAUUCAUGGAGGAUUUUUCAAGGGAAGCAAAUUCCCUAGGCAUCCCAGGUAUUGCACUUUAAAGAGGUUGCCAUGAAGUACAGUAUGUUCUGCCGUAAACCACGGGUACUAGGUCCUUAGGCAUCCAGAUGGGCUUUGGAUGUUGCUAAUGUCAGGCUAAUCUGGGUAAGUGUUUCAGAAAAACUGAUGAACAAAGCACACAAAGCCAGAUAUGCAUACUUAAUGCAUGUACAUUUGUCCACUCCCAUCAAAAUCUCCAUAAGGAAUAGAAGGCAAGAUUUCUGUGUGUGUGUGUGUGUCAAUGCUAGUACAUGAAAUAAUUUCUUAGAAGGUUAUCAGACAGAAAAUAAAAAUAAGAAAAAUAUCAUAACUGAUGAUACUAUUUUAAGGAGGAAAAUUUUCACUUUACCCAAAAUGAGUCUUGAAUCAUUCAUUGAUUCGAUCAUUUACUCCAUAAAUAAAUGUGUUAUGACAGGUACUGGGUUAGAUGCAGGAGUUAGGGUUGUGAACACAACCUCUAAGAUUUUUUAUUUAUUAUUAUUAUUUUUUUUUUGUCUUUUGUCACUUUAGGGCCUCACCUGUGACAUAUGGAGUUUCCCAGGCUAGGGGUCUAAUCUGAGCUACAGCUGCUGGCUUACACCACAGCCACAGCAACGCCAGAUCCAAGCCGCGUUUGUGACCUACACCACAGCUCACGGUAACGCCAGAUCCUUAACCCAAUGAGCAAGGCUAGAGAUCAAACCCAAAACCUCAUGGUUCCUAGUCAGAUUAGUUUCCGCUGUGCUGCGACGGGAACUCCGACUUCCAAGUUUUAUUCUUAGAAGCUCAUAAGACUUAGCUUCUAAUGGAGGAAACAUGAUAAACAAAUAAACCAUUAAAUAUACAAAAUGAGAACAGAUUGUGAGAUGUGUUCUUAAACAGAAGAGGGUAAUGAGCGAAAAAAUGGCAAGGCUUAGAGUAUGAGCGAGAGGUAUCCUGUAAACUGAGAUGUGAAGAAUGAGAAGGAGCCAGAUUCACCAAAGUGGAGGGAAGAGUAUUCCAAGCACAGUAAUUGCCAAGAGGCACAAGGAGUGAUAUUUUCAGGGACAAUAAAGGAAGCCUGCAUGUAGAAUGAAUCAGUGCUAUAGUGUACAUAGCACACAACUGCAUUUCAUUUUUUUAAAUAUUUUUUUAAUUUUCCCACUGUACAGCAAGGGGGUCAGGUUAUCCUUACAUGUAUACAUUACAAUUACAUUUUUUCCCCCACCCUUUCUUCUGUUGCAACAUGAGUAUCUAGACAAAGUUCUCAAUGCUAUUCAGCAGGAUCUCCUUGUAAAUCUAUUCUAAGUUGUGUCUGAUAAGCCCAUUUCAAACAAUUAUACAAAAGGACAGCAUGGGAGGGAUGAGAUUUUCCUCCAAAGUUCAUAAUCAGAUAGGGCCAUCUUUCACUUCUCUUAUUCUGAUUUACUCAUACAUAAAUUGACUAGAACCAUCUUGAACCAAUUUAUGACACCUUUUAUUACUUUUUAAGGUAUAAUGAACUUUGGUGGUUAGUUACCUGCAGUUUUGAGUAAUGCUUCCUUUCUAUUUGACCUAAAAUGACCUCUUUUUAAUCUUCAAAAAGUCAUUUUUAAAUGUCUAAUGCUCUGAGACAUAAGAAAUGUCUGCUCUCAUUUUUUUUACACAAUCCAGAUUUUUACUUACCUCAGAAAAUUUACCUUUAAUUUUCACCACAUCCAGACUGAAGUGUUUUUCUUUUUCAGUUCUUCUUAUUGAGUAUGCCCUCUAUCCCUUUAAUUAUUCUAUGACCAGUAGGGUGACUUCCAUAUGGGGAUAAUCGGUAUAGUGUGCUUUGUGAUACCCGAGGGGUUCAAAAGGACUCCAUAUCCCCAAAACACUUUUUCCCAUUUGCUCACAGUUGAAUAAAAUUUUUACCUUUGUGACUUCUUUGGAUAAAAUGAUUGAAGACUCAUUUGUUGGCUAUGAAGGAUAAACAUUAACUCUUAGACAAAGCCCUUUCUGACAGAAUAGGACACUGGCGAAAUUAUAAGAAAGGAACUGAACACCUGGAGAGAGGAAAUCAGGAAAUCCACGUUAUUUCUGCAGAAGUAUGCAGUAUAUUGAUUAAAACUAUGGUGUUGGAUUCAUACAUAUCUGAUUAGAAUCCUGGCUCCACUAGUGACUAGCUGGGCAAAUCAUUAAAACUUAUAUGAUCUUCAUCUUCUGUAUCUGUAAUAUGAAGAAACCAAUUGUGCUUAACUUGUAACGCCUUUGAGAUAAUCAAAUGAAGUAAUGUAGAUAAUGUACUUGGUCCAAAGUUAGCCCAAAAUGUAGUAUUACUAUAAAUGUUAACCUUCCUGAAACAUUUUUUCAUAUCUGUAAAAUAGGAGCAAGAAUCUCCCAAAUCACAGGAGUACUAAGAUUUACAACCCUGUGUUUGUAAUAGGAAUAGAACAAUUUAGAGAUGCAUACAUACAGAAGUGAACAGGAAAGGAAACAUACAGAGGCAGUAAAUAAUCACUGUAGAAGACACAGUGCUGUACCAUUCAUAUCCCUUUUGCAAUUGAAGAACCUAUUCCUCCAGCUUCAGGAAGUGCUAUGAGCAGAUAUUUCUAAGCUUUCCGCUCAGCUCUCUAUAGAGUUGCCUUGGCACUGUCCAAUCUGUACGCCUUUUCCUUGCCCAGAAUAGGAAGGAAAAUAAAAACCUGGUCCUUGUGUCCAAUGUGACACAAAUUUGAAAAGUCAUCUGUAAUUUUUAAAUCCCUGUGGAUCUGCUGAGCACUUCUUUGAGCUACUUCACAGCCCAAUUUCUCCUUCCAAAUUUCAUUUUCUUCCCUUCCCUUUCUCAUGUGGAGAUCCAAAAAGCACUCUCCAAUGAACCUCCUGCAUUUCUAAUCUCUGUCUCAGAGACUUCUUCCUGGGAACCUAAUCACGUUCCCUGACCUAUCAAAAAUCCCUCCCUUGGCCCUAGAGAUUGCCACUUUAUUUUUGGUUUGAGAUGGAUUGCUAUGUCAUUUUAUUGUCAAAUAUCUCAAUUUGAUCAUGUUUUCUAUUGUAUUCUAUUCACAUAGAAUACUAUCAUUUUGAAGUUACUUUUUAACUGUAAAAUAAAACAGAAGUAAAACACACACACAAAUUUAUCUCAAUGAAAUAUAAGGAGACAAACAUCUUUGUAACCAGUGGCUAACGAAUCCAACUAGGAACCAUGAGGUUGCGGGUUCGGUCCCUGCCCUUGCUCAGUGGGUUAACCAUCUGGCCUUGCUGUGAGCUAUGGUUGCAGGCACGGCUCGGAUCCCACGUUGCUGUGGCUCUGGCGUAGGCUGGUGGCUACAGCUCUGUUUAGACCCCUAGCCUGGGAACCUCCAUAUGCCACAGGAGCGGCUCAAGAAAUGGCAAAAAGACAAAAAG